CUCCCAUGAUCCAGUCACUUCUUACCAGGCCCCACCUUCAACAUUGGGGAUUACAAUUCAACAUGAGAUUUGGGUGGGGACACAGACACAAACUGCAUCACGGAGUGUGUUUCCUUUCAUUUGAAGAGAAUCGCAUUCAGGGUGAUUUCCAAGUGUCUCCAGACUUGAAGACCACUGCCUGGUAGCUUCUAGUGGAUGGAGAUGAUGUGCAUAAGCCCUUCUGGUCGAAGACCCCCAGGCCAGAUCUUUGGAGGGCCCUUCUUGGUCUUCUUGGAACCAGGAUCCAGACCAGGAGCCUACAUUUCACUAACUUGUCAGGACUCCCGUCUCUCCUCCAGCCUGCGACAGCUCCUCCGUCUUCUUUUGUCUUUUCUAACCUUGAUACUUUUGACGAGUACUGGCCAGCUGUUUCGCAGGAUUUUCCUCCAGCUGAGUUGGCUUGAGGUUUUCUCUGAUUGGAUCACAGUUACCGGUUUUCGGAGGAACAGCACAGAGGUGAACGGUCUCACUUAUCACUCCACAUCAAAGCAGGCAUGACACCCACGUGACUCAUUCCUAGGAGGCUGACCUUCACCUUUUGGUCUGGGCGACAUCUGCCAGGUUUUUCCACUGUCUAGUGACUAUUUUUUUCUUUUCCUUUUUUUAUGUUUGUGAAAGUCCUGCCCACACUCAAGGGGCGGGAAAUGAAACUACACCCCCUGGUGUAAUUUGUGAGGUACAUUAAAACCACCCUAGUAAUAGGAAAUGCUCACAUUAUGCUUUUGGUCAUUGUUAUUGAGCUAGUUAUGAGGCUUCUUUUUCCCUCUGUGGGAAGAUGACAUUUUCACCCGUAAUACCUUGUCACCCGUACCACUUUGGCAGUCUCAGUGAAGAUACCUGCACCCUCUGGGUGAGGGGCUUCUGACUAGUGCCAUGGAUGCUUGCUCUACAGAGACCAGAGAAGACUCCAGUUAGGGAGAGCGGACUCGCUACGCUCAGGUGCCGCCCCUCUGUCUCCCAGCCUCUCUAAAAUGACAAGAAAGGGACAAAAGCCUUAUUAACUUAUAGAGUGAAAGACAGCAGGGAUAACCAAGGGUAAAGCAUCACAACACAUUUUUCUUCACAGCUCACCUGCUCUACUGAAUCACACUGCCAUGUUAUGAGUUGCCCAUGUGGAAAGGGGCUGAUGUCUUUUGCCAACAGCCGUGAGAACCCGAGCACCUGCCAGCACCCACAUGCGUGACCUCGG
rnacentral:lncRNA from 1 species